rnacentral:rRNA from 1 species
UACAGAGGUCUCAAGCGUUGUUCGGAUUCAUUGGGCGUAAAGGGUGCGUAGGCGGCGCGGUAAGUCGGGUGUGAAAUCUCGGAGCUUAACUCCGAAACUGCAUUCGAUACUGCCGUGCUUGAGGACUGGAGAGGAGACUGGAAUUCACGGUGUAGCAGUGAAAUGCGUAGAUAUCGUAAGGAAGACCAGUGGCGAAGGCGAAUCUCUGGACAGUUCCUGACGCUGAGGCACGAAGGUCAGGGGGAGCAAACGGG